rfam:Rattus norvegicus chromosome 15, whole genome shotgun sequence.
GGGGAUUUAGCUCAGUGGUAGAGCGCUUGCUUAGCAAGCGCAAGACCCUAAGACCCUGGGUUCAGUCCCCA